CUGCCUGAAUUAUUGUUACUUGUUGUUGUUGCAGUCACAUCUCAAACAAAUCACAGAUGUAGGACAAGCUCUUCAAGCAGUGUUCUUGGUUGGUUGGUUGUGUCAGGUGUUAUUAGGCCCCUGGUCUGGUCUGAGGGAGGAAGUGUUCAGGAAGUGUUCAGACACAGGAAGUGUUCAGACACGGGAGGAGAGCUAGGAGAGGAGGUGAAUGCCGUCAAGGUUAGUCAACAGAACGAGCGGCCAUGCGGCACCAAACACAGCCAUUUCCUGCCUUCUUAAAGCCUCACCUCUCCUGCUCCCAAUAUAACUAACUACCUGUCUCUUCCUGUCCCAUCUCCCUGUAGUGAUCUCCCUGUAGUGAUCUCCCUGUAGUGAUCUCCCUGUAGUGAUCUCCCCUGUAGUGAUCUCCCCUGUAGUGAUCUCCCUGUAGUGAUCUCCCUGUAGUGAUCUCCCUGUAGUGAUCUCCCUGUAGUGAUCUCUCCUGUAGUGAUCUCUCCUGUAGUGGACCCGGGUCAUAAC
rnacentral:lncRNA from 8 species